rnacentral:rRNA from 1 species
GACGAACGCUGGCGGCGUGCCUAACACAUGCAAGUCGAACGGAGAUAUCUAAUGAAGCUUGCGAUUUAGAUAUCUUAGUGGCGGACGGGUGAGUAACGCGUGGAUAACCGUGCCCAUAAGUGGGGAAUAACAGUUGGAAACGACUGCUAAUACCGCAUAAGCUAGCAAGGGCGAUGGCCCUAGCUAGAAAAGAUGGCCUCUUGACAAAGCUAUCGCUUAUGGAUGGGUCCGCGUCUGAUUAGCUGGUUGGUGAGGUAAAGGCUCACCAAGGCGACGAUUGGUAGCCGAACUGAGAGGUUGAUCGGCCACAUUGGGGACUGAGACACGGCCCAGACUCCUACGGGAGGCAGCAGUGGGGAAUAUUGCGCAAUGGGGGAACCCUGGACGCAGCAACGCCGCGUGAAGGAAGAAGGUCUUCGGAUUGUAAACUUCUUUGAUGAGGGACGAAUAAAGUGACGGUACCUCAAAACAGCCACGGCUAACUACGUGCCAGCAGCCG